rnacentral:misc_RNA from 1 species
AACGGUCUAUACCUGCGGUACCUGCGGAGGGAUCAUUAUCAAUUUACAGCGGACUUCGGUCCUGUCUGCACCCUUGUCUUUUGCGUACUAUAUGUUUCCUCGGUGGGCUUGCCUGCCGAUAGGACACUUAUAAACUCUUUUGUAGUUGCAAUCAGCGUCAGAAAACUAUAAUAGUUACAACUUUCAACAAUGGAUCUCU